rnacentral:ribozyme from 14 species
AUACAAAAAGGGAAAGGGAAAAAAGAAAAAUCCAGGUCUCAAUUUCUCAGUAUGGAGGACCUUAUGUUUUCAUGGGCUCCAAAACCUAUUUUCCCCCCCUGACUAUGAUAUGUAGGUCCCUUUUUUGUUCUCCAACAACAUUUCCGUGACGUUUCUUCUCGGUAUCAAAAUAAAAAGAAAGAAAGAGAAAGAGAGAAAAGAAUAUUCCUUCUCUGUAUGUAAAAGAGAAAGAAAGAGAGAGAAAAGACUACUCCUUCUCUGUAAACU